GCUCAACCGGGGAAGUGCUUCGAAAACUGGUAAACUUGAGUGCAGAAGAGGAAAGUGGAACUCCAUGUGUAGCGGUGGAAUGCGUAGAUAUAUGGAAGAACACCAGUGGCGAAGGCGGCUUUCUGGUCUGUAACUGACGCUGAGAUUCGAAAGCAUGGGUAGCAAACAGGAUUAGAUACCCUGGUAGUCCAUGCCGUAAACGAUGAGUGCUAAGUGUUGGAGGGUUUCCGCUCUUCAGUGCUGCAGCUAACGCAUUAAGCACUCCGCCUGGGGAGUACGAUCGCAAGAUUGAAACUCAAAGGAAUUGACGGGGGCCCGCACAAGCGGUGGAGCAUGUGGUUUAAUUCGAAGCAACGCGAAGAACCUUACCAGGUCUUGACAUACCAUGAAAAGCUAAGAGAUUAGUCUUUCCCUUCGGGGACAUGGAUACAGGUGGUGCAUGGUUGUCGUCAGCUCGUGUCGUGAGAUGUUGGGUUAAGUCCCGCAACGAGCGCAACCCUUAUUAUCAGUUGCCAGCAUUCAGUUGGGCACUCUGGUGAGACUGCCGGUGACAAACCGGAGGAAGGUGGGGACGACGUCAAAUCAUCAUGCCCCUUAUGACCUGGGCUACACACGUGCUACAAUGGUCGGUACAACG
rnacentral:rRNA from 1 species